rnacentral:rRNA from 1 species
ACUCUAAGGUGACUGCCGGCUAAAAGUACGGAGGAAGGUGGGGAGUGACGUCAAAUCAUCAUGCCCCUUAUGACCUGGGCUACACACGUGCUACAAUGGGCGGUACAAAGGGUCGCGAACCCGCGAGGGGGAGCCAAUCCCAAAAAGCCGCUCUCAGUUCGGAUUGCAGGCUGCAACUCGCCUGCAUGAAGCCGGAAUCGCUAGUAAUCGCGGAUCAGCAUGCCGCGGUGAAUACGUUCCCGGGCCUU